CCACAGUCAGCUCAGUUCAACAGCUGUUUCUCAAGUUCUGGGCAGUGGCUCCCACACUGCUGAGGCUUGGAAUCACUGACUCUGAGGUUUUAAGUUGGAGAUGAGGAUCUGCCACAUUUACAGAAGUGGGAAAGACAAGGAGAAGCCAUUUCCAGUGGCGGAGAUGGGGUGGAGACAGUUAUCAUCUUUAUGCAGCAGAUAGGAGCCUGGAAAGGGGCACAGUGGUAAAGAAUCCACCUGCUGAUGCAGAAGAUGCAAGAAAUGCUGGUUCAAUCCCUAGGCCAAGAAGAUCCCCCGAAGUAGGAAACAGCAACCUGCUCCAGUAUUAUCACCUGAAAAAAUUCCAUGGACAAAGGAGCCUGGCAGUCUACAGCCCAUGGGGUCCCAAAGAGUGGGACACGGCUGAGCGGCUGAGCACAGCACACAUCAUGAAAUGGGCUUAGUGAACACCCAUCAUCUCAUAAGCUAUUAAAGAAAUAGGGAAACAUUUUUCCCUUGUGAUGAUAACUCUUAGGACUCUCUUAAUGUUCAUUUCUAAUGGUACAGCAGUGUUAAUUACCUUCAUCACGUUGUACACUACAUCCCCUGUUGUUCAGUCGCUAAGUUGUUUCCGACUCUUUGUGACCCCAUGACCUGCAGCAUGCUAGGCUUCCCUGUUCUUCAUCUCCCAGAGUUUGCUCAAACUCAUGUCCAUUGAGUCAAUGAUACUAUCCAACCAUCUCAUCCUCUAUUAUCUCCUUCUUCUCUUGC
ensembl:lncRNA